rnacentral:rRNA from 1 species
CAGCAGCCGCGGUAAUACGGAGGAUCCGAGCGUUAUCCCGAAUUAUUGGGUUUAAAGGGUGCGUAGGCGGAUAGAUAAGUCAGUGGUGAAAGACGGUGGCUCAACCAUCGCAGUGCCGUUGAUACUGUUUAUCUUGAAUAUGGAUGAGGUAGGCGGAAUGUGGCAAGUAGCGGUGAAAUGCAUAGAUAUGCCACAGAACACCGAUUGCGGAGGCAGCUUACCAAGGCAAAAUUGACGCUGAGGCACGAAAGCGUGGGGAUCGAACAGGAUUAGAUACCCCGGUAGUCCCUGUCUCUUAUAC